UCGGCCCGCGGUGCCGCCGGGCUGGAGCCCGACUAGUGGCCUUGGUGUCCGCAGAGAGAAACCUGUCCCGCGGCCCCGAAAUAGCUUGUUGUGGAAACACUUCGGGAUAAAUACGCCCAACAAGGCUGAAAAUACCUUGACACCCAAUCCGAGAGGUUUGCUCAUUUCCCUUCGGAUUUAGUGAGGUCAUCUCCCAGGUGUAUAGUGGUACUCCCACACUGAGGGAGGGCAGAGGAGAAAGAUAAGAACGGAGGUCCAGAGAGGUUAAGAAACUUACCCAGGAGCGUCGAAGAGCGAGGACUGGUCACGACUCAACACACUGAACCUACCUCUGACUUCCCACAACUUCAAAACUAUCUCUAAUUUACAACUAUGCUGAGAGUGAAGAGAAUAAGACACCCCCCUCAAAGUUCACAUUUUUAAAAGCAAGAAAGAAUCCCCCUCCAAAAAAUAUUUCUUUGAAUCUGAAAGAUGUAAAUGGUUCAUCUGAGUGGCAAGAAUCGAAGAAUGAAUGCUCCAAGUGAGGCUGUCCUGGUUUAACUUCCCCAUUCCAUGUUCCACUUCAGUUCAUUCAACUUUGCAUAAGUAAACCAAGUUAUAGUGAUUUGCAGGGACUCAGCUUUUCUUUCUUUUUUUAAUCAAAAUUUCAGGGAAAAAUGAAUCAAAGUUCUGUUUUCAUUUCUAGUUAUUGUUUGGAUUUACUUGGGGGAAGUUACAUGAAUAACUAACUUGUUUCAGGCCUUAGUUUACCCAUCUUUAAAAUAGGAAAUGCCUCCCACGUGUGAAAUAACAUGAGCUAUUGUUGAAAAGUAGCCGUGGGAGACACACUGAAAGUAAAAUCCAUGUUUUAUAAACAGAGCUUAAAAAAAAAUCACAGGAGGCAGAUGAGAUUUUCUUUAUAAGAGGGUGGUGUUUUAUUUUUAAAAUACACUUUUUUCAUUAGAAAUUAUACUGCCUAUAAUCUGAUAAUUAAAAAAAAACCAGUAAAAUAACUUCCCAGUCUUUUUUGCUCUGCUUCUUUAAAAAAAAAACAUAAUUGCAAUA